rnacentral:tRNA from 1 species
GGAGAGAUGGCCGAGUGGUCGAUGGCGCUGGUCUUGAAAACCAGUAGGGCGCAAGCUCUCGUGGGUUCGAAUCCCACUCUCUCCGCCA